GACACUGGCCUGAGACUGUCUGCAGUUGCACCGCAGAUCCUCCUGCCCGGCUGGCCCGACCCAAUAUCAGUUCAGUCAUCCGAUCUUCCUUGGGGAAAUACCCAUUACCGUCCUGAACCCUUGUCAUCCACUACUUGGCUAUAAGCUCCAGAAGUGACAAGACACUUCACAUCUUAAAUAUGUUUCCUAGUUAUAAUUCAUUUGGGCAGUAAAUGUUUGUUGAGCACUUA